GACGGAGGAGGCAAGCGUUAUUCGGAAUUAUUGGGCGUAAAGCGUGCGCAGGCGGUGAUUCAAGUCUGCUGUCAAAGGUCGGGGCUUAACCCCGGGAAGGCAGUGGAAACUGAAUAGCUAGAGGGAGGUAGGGGCAGAGGGAAUUCCCGGUGUAGCGGUGAAAUGCGUAGAGAUCGGGAAGAACACCAGUGGCGAAAGCGCUCUGCUGGGCCUGCACUGACACUGAGGGACGAAAGCUAGGGGAGCGAAAGGG
rnacentral:rRNA from 1 species